AGUUCCUGUUGUGUCGGGGUGGAACCUGGUGAACAGUCACAGACCUUUCAUAGGCUGUUCCUGCCGUCAGUCAUGAACGGGCUCCUCUCAUUGGCCAGCCAGCUGAUGAGGCGGGCAGAGUGUGUGUCUCUCUUUAGGAAGGUGAUGGAUUCAGUCGGCUGGUUGCUCAGAUCUCAGACUCAGCUGACGACUCAGGUUCUGAGCUGCGUCCACUACGAGCAGAUCCAGAUGUGUGAUGAUGUCACUGUGUCACUGCUCUGUGUCCAGAUGUGGAUUCAGAUCUGCUCAGCCAACAGG